rnacentral:lncRNA from 1 species
GGUUGUUUCCAGUUUCUGACUGUUACAAAUAAAGCUGCUAUGAGCAUAGUGGAGCAUGUGUCCUUGUGGUGUAGUGAGGCAUCUUUUGGGUAUACUCCCAGGAGUUGUAUAACUGGGUCUUGGGGUACAACUACUCCCAGUUUCCCAGAAAUCAGAUUGAUCUCCAAAGUGGUUGUACAAGUUUGCUUUCCUAUCAGUAAUGGAGAAGUAUUAUUCAUACUUCUUAUCCUUACCAGCAUGUGCUGUCACUUGAGUUUUUGACCUUAGCCAUUCUGGUGGGUAUAAGAUGCAAUCUUGGGGUCAUUUUAAUUUGCAUUUUCCUGAUGACUAACAUUGAAUGUUUCUUUAUGAGUUUCUUAGCCAUUAGAGAUUCCUCUCCUGAGAGUUCUCUGUUUUGCUCUGUACCCAUUUUUUAAUUGGGUUAUUUGGGUGGUUAGUAUUUAAUUUUUUGAGUUUUUAUAAUUUUGGAUAUUAGCCCCCUGGGUUAGUGAAGAUCUUUUCCCAUUUUGUGGGCUUCAGUUUUGUCUUAUUGACAGUGUUCUUUGCCUUACAGAAGCUUUUCAGUUUCACGAAGUCCCUUUUAUUAAUUAUUGUUCCCGAGCUGUUACAGCUGAUAAAUACUUUCAGCAAAAUAGCUGGAUAUAAAAUCAGCUCAAAAAAAAAAAAA